rnacentral:rRNA from 1 species
AGUGAAUAGAUACCCCGGUAGUCCACGCCGUAAACGAUGGAUACUAGCUGUAGGGGGUAUCGACCCCCUCUGUAGCGAAAGCUAAACGCGUUAAGUAUCCCGCCUGUGGAGUACGGUCGCAAGACUAAAACAUAAAGGAAUUGACGGGGACCCGCACAAGCGGUGGAUCAUGUUCUUUAAUUCGAUGCUAAACGAAGAACCUUACCAGGGCUUGACAUCCUUGGAAUUUCUACGAAAGUAGAUUGUGCCAUUUGGAACCAAGUGACAGAUGAUGCAUGGCCGUCGUCAGCUCGUGUCGUGAGAUGUUUGGUUAAGUCCAUCAACGAGCGCAACCCUUGUGAAUAGUUGUAUUUUUCUAUUCAGACUGCCCCGGUAACGGGGAGGAAGGAGGGGAUGAUGUCAGGUCAGUAUUUCUCUUACGUCCUGGGCUAGAAACGUGAUACAAUGGCCGGUACAAUGCGCCAAUGCCAACCCGCGAGGGGGAGCAAAUCGCAUCAAAGCCGGUCCCAGUUCGGAUAAGAGGCUGAAACUCGCCUCUUUGAAGUCGGAAUC